rnacentral:rRNA from 1 species
AACGAACGCUGGCGGCAGGCUUAACACAUGCAAGUCGAACGCAUCCUUCGGGGUGAGUGGCAGACGGGCGAGUAACGCGUGGGAACGUGCCCUUCAGUUCGGGAUAACCCAGGGAAACUUGGGCUAAUACCGGAUACGUGCGAGAGCAGAAAGAUUUAUCGCUGAAGGAGCGGCCCGCGUUUGAUUAGCCAGUUGGUGGGGUAAUGGCCCACCAAGGCGACGAUCAGUAGCUGGUCUGAGGGGAUGAUCAGCCACAUUGGGACUGAGACACGGCCCAAACUCCUACGGGAGGCAGCAGUGGGGAAUAUUGGACAAUGGGCGCAAGCCUGAUCCAGCCAUGCCGCGUGAGUGAUGAAGGCCUUAGGGUUGUAAAGCUCUUUCGUCCGGGACGAUAAUGACGGUACCGGAAGAAGAAGCCCCGGCUAACUUCGUGCUAGCCGCCGCGGUAA